AACGAACGUUAGCGGCGCGCCUAACACAUGCAAGUCGAGCGAGAAAGGGCUUCGGCCCCGGUAAAGCGGCGCACGGGUGAGUAACACGUGGAUAACCUACCCCUUGGUGGUGGAUAACCUUCCGAAAGGAGGGCUAAUACAGCGUAAGACCACGACUUCGAAAGAGGUUGAGGUAAAAGUGGGCCUCUGUACACAAGCUCACGCCAGGGGAUGGGUCCGCGGCCCAUCAGCUAGUUGGUAGGGUAACGGCCUACCAAGGCGAAGACGGGUAGCUGGUCUGAGAGGAUGAUCAGCCACACUGGAACUGAGACACGGUCCAGACUCCUACGGGAGGCAGCAGUGGGGAAUCUUGCGCAAUGGACGAAAGUCUGACGCAGCGACGCCGCGUGAGUGAUGAAGGCCUUCGGGUUGUUAAAGGACUCUGUGGAGAGGGACGGAAUAAGUAGUCGUCGAAGUAGACGGACGAUGAUGACGGUACCGUUUUUAGUCAAGCACCGGCUAACUCUGUGCCAGCAGCCGCGGUAA
rnacentral:rRNA from 1 species